rnacentral:tRNA from 1 species
GGAAAUGGGGCUGGAUACCAAGGAACACUAUGAAAAAGGGGACCUAGAGGGAUACCCGCCCUCUCAUUUCCU